CUUGGUCAUUUUAUUUUUCUAGGCGGAGAAUUCAUAGUAGGGGACUUUUAGAGAGUAAAAGUGGCCUACCGUUUCGUUUACACAAGAGUCAAGAAAGCAUUGACAUUACAGGUUCGAAGAUGCAUACCAUUGGGGAAUCUGGAAUGGAGAGGCUUUUGUGACAUUAGUAUUAUUUAAGUUGUUUCUAGGAGUUUAUCUUUUCAGACAUUAGUUUUAAGUUGGUGUGUUUCAGUUCAAACAUUGUUUGGUUCUUAUUUCAUAAGUUUAAUAAAGUUGAUUUUGUUUUA